AUUGAACGCUGGCGGCAUGCCUUACACAUGCAAGUCGAACGGCAGCAUGGAGAGCUUGCUCUCUGAUGGCGAGUGGCGAACGGGUGAGUAAAGCAUCGGAACGUACCGUGUAGUGGGGGAUAACGUAGCGAAAGUUACGCUAAUACCGCAUACGCACUGAGGUGGAAAGCAGGGGAUCGUAAGACCUUGCGCUAUACGAGCGGCCGAUGUCAGAUUAGCUAGUUGGUAGGGUAAAGGCCUACCAAGGCGACGAUCUGUAGCGGGUCUGAGAGGAUGAUCCGCCACACUGGGACUGAGACACGGCCCAGACUCCUGCGGGAGGCAGCAGUGGGGAAUUUUGGACAAUGGGGGCAACCCUGAUCCAGCCAUGCCGCGUGAGUGAAGAAGGCCUUCGGGUUGUAAAGCUCUUUCGGCCGGGAAGAAAUCGCACAGGCUAAUACCCUGUGUGGAUGACGGUACCGGCAUAAGAAGCACCGGCUAACUACGUG
rnacentral:rRNA from 1 species